UCACUACCGAGGAGUCCCACAAUAGGACGAAAUGGCCAUCCAGUGC
rfam:Schistosoma mattheei strain Denwood, Zambia genome assembly, scaffold: SMTD_scaffold0006341